CUUGAGCGAGCCGAGCCACAGGGGCCGGUCCUCGCCGUGCUCGCCGCCGUACGUGGCCAGCAGCGCCUGCGCUUC
rnacentral:antisense_RNA from 1 species